UACGUAGGUGCGAGCGUUGUCCGGAAUUAUUUGGGCGUAAAGAGCUUGUAGGCGGUUUGUCGCGUCUGCUGUGAAAAUCCGGGGCUCAAACCCCGGACUUGCAGUGGGUACGGGCAGACUAGAGUGUGGUAGGGGAGACUGGAAUUCCUGGUGUAGCGGUGAAAUGCGCAGAUAUCAGGAGGAACACCGAUGGCGAAGGCAGGUCUCUGGGCCACUACUGACGCUGAGAAAGCGAAAGGCAUGGGGAGCGAACAGGAUUAGAUA
rnacentral:rRNA from 1 species